CGCGCCGUCCAGGGGAGGAGAAGGAGGAGAAGCGGCGCAGGUUACGCCGGACUGUUUUUUCCCCCCGUCUCUGUACAUAGAUUCCGCUGAAAGUAUUUUUCAGAGUCUCUAAUUAACACGGAUGAGCUGAACUCUACGAAGCCGUCAGUGACCUCGGAGCUCUCCAGGCAGGAGCCGGCACAGCCCGGGAGGAGCGGCCCCGGCCAGCGCCACCCGCCCUGGGGCACGGCCGGGGCACCCCCGGGCAGCGGGCGGCGAAGUAGGGCGUUGUUAGUGGGUCACCGCCGUCAGUCAGUCAAAAGAGCAGUGCUGCACUUUACAGGACAGACGAGAAAGAGAAACCGUAUCUCUGCAUUAUUUCUGUUUAAUUAAAAGUGUCAUCAAACACUUUGUGUUCAGACUAAUAAACCAAGCAGGGAUGAGGAAAGAAUGUUUCUUUGUUCCCGUCUCUAGAAGCAGUGGCAAUAAUUUAAAUUAAUAACUGUGGUAAUUAAGAGGUCAUCUGUAGAUCAACCCGAUACCUGCUAUUUCCAAGUUCACCGGGGUCAGCAUUUACAUUAAGUCAUUUGUGGUCAAUAGAGUCCAAUGAAUUCUGCCUUAAUAAAUCAGGGAAAUCAAUCUGGAAUAUCGAGUAGACUUCUAUAUGUUUACUAAAGGCUACUCAAGACGAGUGGGGCUACAUAACUGGGAGCCCUCUGGGUUUGCGACCGGAGAAGCAAUUCGUAGGGGAAAGGAGGAGCUGCAGGUCAACGCAGGGAGAUGUGACAGGGCUGUCCCCGGCCUCGGCCCCGGAGCAGAGCAGAAAGAAAGAAGUGGCACUGAAAGAAGGCUAACUUGGUCGGGCUUUGGAGGAUCCGGGGAGGAAAGGGAGGGGGAGGUCAAGUGAGCGAGAUGCAGAUUAUCCCGCCCGCCCAGGACUCCCCUGCAAUCUGUCACGCCGGCAAGAUAUGUAUCGCAAAUCUCUCGAAAUAUAAUCUCCGGGAAUCAUAUUCCGAAUACUGUUUUGAU
rnacentral:lncRNA from 1 species